rnacentral:rRNA from 1 species
GACGAACGCUGGCGGCGUGCUUAACACAUGCAAGUCGAACGGAAAGGCCCUGCUUUUGUGGGGUGCUCGAGUGGCGAACGGGUGAGUAACACGUGAGUAACCUGCCCUUGACUUUGGGAUAACUUCAGGAAACUGGGGCUAAUACCGGAUAGGAGCUCCUGCUGCAUGGUGGGGGUUGGAAAGUUUCGGCGGUUGGGGAUGGACUCGCGGCUUAUCAGCUUGUUGGUGGGGUAGUGGCUUACCAAGGCUUUGACGGGUAGCCGGCCUGAGAGGGUGACCGGCAACAUUGGGACUGAGAUACGGCCCAGACUCCUACGGGAGGAAGCAGUGGGGAAUAUUGCACAAUGGGCGGAAGCCUGAUGCAGCAACGCCGCGUGCGGGAUGACGGCCUUCGGGUGGUAAACCGCUUUCGCCUGUGACGAAGCGUGAGUGACGGUAAUGGGUAAAGAAGCACCGGCUAACUACGU